AGAGAGCUGAAGCUUUAUAAAAGAAAAAUAUAGAACUGCCGCAACACUUGUGGAAAAAGAAAAGGGAGUAGAGACUUUGAGAGAAAUAUUUGUCAGAAUUGUUAUUUUGUGUGUUGUAAUAUUUUACUCUUUGUAUAAUACAAAUACUACUUUUGUUCCACUACGCUUUCAAAAAUUUAGAACCGCAGCCGGACCUCGGAUCCAUAACCUCGAGUUACAUUUGGUCCACUACGCUUCCAACAAGUGGUAUCAGAGCGAGGUUGGUAUAAACGUCACGAUGUCAAAUAUGCUCCAGCUAUAAAUCUCUAAAUUGACGAAGUCACAUUAUGGGAAUUGCAGCACCCAGAUGAAAGUAUUACUUGGAGCUAUUGAUUGUUGGGAUACUGUUGAAGCUGGUUAUAAGAUGCCAGAAGAUGCAGCCGCUGAAGCAGCUUUAUCAAAUGAGAAAAAAGAAGUACUGCGAAAAAAUCGAGUAAGAGAUAAGAAGGCGCUGUAUGCAAUUCAUCAAAGUGUUGAUGAAUCAACCUUUGAAAACAUUGCUAAAGCCACUACAUCAAGAGAGGCAUGGGAGAUUUUGCAAAAAUCUCUUCAAGGAGCAGAGAAGGCUAGAAGGGUACGACUGCAAACCCUUAGAGCUGAAUUUGAGACAUUAAAAAUGAAAACGUCUGAAUCAGUUGAUGAGUAUGUCACCCGAGUAAAAUCGGUAACAAACGAGAUGAAGAGAAACAAAGAACCACUCGAUAAUGUUCGAGUGAUGGAAAAGAUUUUGCGGUCACUGACACGCAAAUUCAAUUAUGUGGUUGCUGCAAUUGAAGAAUCAAAGGAUUUAUCAGAAAUCUCCUUUGAUGAACUUCUGGGUUCACUUCAAGCCCAUGAACUAAAGAUGAAGCAAUAUGAUGAUUCUGAAAGUUUGGAUAAAGUUUUGCAAAGCAAGUUAUCCUUAACUGAAGGCGGAACAAGCAGCAGCUUAGGACAAAGCUCGAACAAUCGUGGAGGAUACUGCAGAUGAUAUAGAGGUGACAACAGAGGUGGUCGCGGAAUACGGGGACGAGACUAUCAAACAUAUGGUAGAGGACAAUCAAAUGAAGAUUCUCAUGGAGCAAAUUAUGGACGAGGAGCUCGAGGCAGAAUCUGAGGCAGAGGUAGACUUAAUAAGGGUUUAAAUCCCAAGUGCAGUGCUAUAAUUGUGACAAAUAUGAUCACUAUAGCUAUGAGUGUAGAUCGGCUCCUACACAAGAAUAAUGAAUUCAUGUAGCAGUUGUUGAAGAUAGAAUUGGGGAAUCUCGCAUAUUCCUCAUGUACAAAGGAGAUCAAGGAUCCAAUACGAAUAUUUGGUACCUUGAUAACGGUGCCAGUAACCACAUGUGUGGUCGAAAGGAAUUAUUCAUGGAUCUGUAUGAAUCUGUUAAUGGACAUGUAACUUUUUUAGAUGAUUCGCAUGCCGAUGUCAAAGGCAAAGGAAAAGUCAUGAUUACUCAGAAGAACGGAGAAAAGAAGUACAUAACUGAUGUCUAUUAUGUACCAUCAUUGAAAAGCAACAUAAUCAGUACAGGUCAGCUCAGUGAAUUGGGAUAUGAGGUGGUCAUAAAGGAUUGUUCACUAACCUUGAGAAAUUAAAAUGGAGAGGUGGUUGCCAAGGUUGAUAUGAUACAAAAUCGUCUUUUCACUAUUGACAUCGAAUCCGGAGAAGUGAAGUGCAUGAAGACAUCUAUAAAAGAUGACUCGUGGCUUUGGCACUUGAGGUUUGGGCAUCUUGGAUUUUCUGUUUUGAAGCUAUUGGCAAAAGAAAAUAUGGUGAAUGGAUUACCAAAAAUAAAUCCACAAUUUUCUGGUCUGAAGCUAUUGGCAAAAGAAAAUAUGGUGAAUGGAUUACCAAAAAUAAAUCCACUAGAUCAUCUGUGUGAAGCUUGCAUCAAAGGAAAACAACAUAGACAAAUUUUUGAAGUUGGUAAAUCCAUAAAACUAGAAGACCACUCGAGAUCGUGCACUCGGAUUUAGUUGGUCCGUUUGGUAUACCAUCGUUAGGAGGAAAUAGGUAUUAUCUAACUUUUAUUGAUGAUUUUAGUAGAAAAAGUUGGGUAUAUAUCCUUAAAGAAAAAUCAGAAACUCUUGAUAAAUUCAAGGAGUUUAAAGCGAUGGUGGAAAAACAAAGUGGAUAUUAUGUGAAGAUACUCAGAUCAGAUAGAGGAGGUGAAUAAAUUCAAGGAGUUUAAAGCAAUGGUAGAAAAACAAAGUGGGUAUUAUGUGAAAAUUACUCAGAUCUGAUAGAGGAGGUGAGUACACUGCAAACUUAUUUGAGGAUUUUGUCAAAAACUAUGGUAUUAUUCAUCAGUUUAACAGUCAGAUACAUACCUAAACAAAAUGAAGUCGCAUAAAGAAAGAAUCGCACUAUUCUUGUUAUGGCAAGGAGCAUGGUGAAAGGUAAGCAUUUACCAAUGAAUUUCUGGUUUCAGGCUGUUCAAUGUGCAGUUUAUUUGUUAAAUCAUUGUACGACAAAGAGUGUCCGAUAUAUGACACGAAAUGAAGCAUGAAGUGGUCAAAAGCCUAGUGUUGGACAUCUUAAGAUCUUUGGGUGUAUUGCAUAUGCCCAUGUCCUUGAACAGCUGAGAAAGAAGCUUGAUGACAGAGGAGAAAAAUGUAUCUUCAUCGACCAUGAUAAAAGAAACAAAGGUUAUAGGUUGUAUAAUCCACGUACAAGGAAGGUCAUCAUUUCAAGAGAUGUUGAAUUUGAUGAAAUCGAUUAUUGGAGAUGAAGCAAAGAAGAAAAGAAAGUUGAAGGAUUAUUCUUCCGUGAUGAAGAAGAUGAUGAUUUUGACAUUCAAAAUGAAGAAGGUGACGGAUAAAGUCCUCCACAGAGUCCAGGUCCAACAAAUCCUUCAACAUCUACAUCACCAAGUAGCAGCGAACCAAGUGAUGCUCCCAUAAAAACAUGCAGUAUUCAUGAGAUUUAUGAAGACACUGAACCAAUUGAGACAACUCUUGAUUACUCCUUAUUUAGUCUGAUGGAUGAAUGUGAUAAUGUCACAUAUGAAGAAGCAAAUGAAGAUAUGAAAUGGAAGAAGGCAAUGGAUAAAGAGAUUGCUGCAAUAAGAAGGAAUGACACAUGGGAGCUAACAAGUUUGCCAAAAAGACAUAGUUCUAUUGGAGUAAAAUGGCUGUACAAGACAAAGACCAACAAAGAAGGAAAGGUGGAGAAAUAUAAAGAGAGGCUCGUCGCCAAAGGAUAAAAGCAAAAUUAUGGAGUGGAUUAUGAUGAAGUGUUUGCUCCUGUUGCAAGGAUUGAUGCUGUAAGGCUUCUCACCGCACUCGCAGCACAAAAUUGAUGGAAGAUUUAUCAGAUGGAUGCAAAGUUAGCAUUUCUAAAUGGAUAUCUAGAAGAAGAAGUUUAUAUUGAGCAACCACCUGGAUAUAUGAAGAAAGGACAUGAAGACAAAGUCUAUCAUCUGAAGAAAGCUUUGUAUGGAUCGAAGCAAGCUCCGCGAGCAUGAAAUACCGGGAUUGAUGAGUACUUUCAGAAGAAUGGAUUCAUGAAAAGUGCAUACGAGCAUGCGUUAUACUCAAAGAAAAAUAAAGUUGGUGACAUUAUGACCGUGUGCCUAUAUGUGGAUGAUAUGAUUUUCACAGGAAACAAUCCAGAUAUGUUCAAUGACUUUAAGAAAGAUAUGACUAAAGAAUUUGAAAUGAAAGACAUUGGUGAAAUGUCAUACUUUCUUAAAGUUGAAGUGAAACAAAUGGAGGAUGGCAUAUUUGUGUCUCAAAAGAAAUAUGUAGAGGAAAUUCUGAAAAAGUUCAAAAUACAAGAUUGUAAGCCGAUAGCCACACCAGCAGAACCAGGCUUGAAGUUAAGUGUUGAUUCCACAAGCGAGCCAGUAAAUCCAACGUUGUUCAAAAGCAUCAUUGGAAGUUUGAGAUAUUUAAAUAUCUAAGACCAAAUAUUAUGUAUGAUGUUGGAUUAGUCAGCAGAUUCAUGGAGAAGCCAACAAGAUCACUGGAGUGCUACCAAAAGAAUUUUGAGAUAUAUCAAAGGUAUUGUGGAUCAUGGUCUUUUCUAUACACACAAUAAAAAAUCAAGAUUGGUUGGUUACUUAGACAGUGAUUAUGGGGGAGACUUGGAUGAUAGGAAAAGCACAACCGAUUAUCUAUUUCAUCUUGGCUCGGAAGCAUUUUUGUGGUCAUCAAAGAAACAACAAACUGUUUCUCUUUCAACUCGUGCGGCAGAAUACAUAGCAGUUGCAACGCGUACCUAUCAAGCUAUCUGGUUGAAGAAUAUUUUGGAGGAAUUAUCUUUUCCACAAGAAGAUUCGAUCACAAUCUAUGUUAACAACAAGUUUGCCAUAUCACUCUCGAAGAAUCCAGUGUCGCAUAGCCAAAGAAAGCAUAUUGAUACAAAGUAUAAUUUUAUCCGCGAACAAGUGAAGAACAAUACAUUGGAGUUAGUCUAUUGUCGCACCGAAGAUCAGUUGGCAGACAUCUUUACAAAGCCAUUGAAAACAGAUGUAUUUCACACGUUCAAAGAAAAGCUCGGAAUAAAAAGUUUGAGUUUGAGGGAGAGUGUUGGAAUUCAAACUCAAAUUGAAAAUCACUUCUGAAGAAGUCAAAAUUGGCAAGAUUAAAAAGUAGGAGGUAUUCAACUUGAAGAAGUAACCUAAAGAUGGAGGAAUCGAACAAGCAAUCUCCUGCACCUCCCCGAAUCUAUCUAUAAAUACAUAUGAUCAUUUUGUUAUUGAAAUGAGUUUUGUGAAAGAUGAAAAGAGAGAUGAAGCUUUAUAAAAGAAAAAUAUAGAAGUGCCGCAUCACUUGUGGAAAAAGAAAAGGGAGUAGAGACUUUGAGAGAAAUAUUUGUCAGAAUUGUUAUUUUGUGUGUUGUAAUAUUUUACUCUUUGUAUAAUACAAAUACUACUUUUGUUCCACUACGCUUUCAAAAAUUUAGAACCGCAGCCGGACCUCGGAUCCAUAACCUCGAGAGAAAAUGCACUACCUCAAUCGAUUUGAAUUGAACCUUUCCCUAUGUUUUGAUCAGAAUUCGGAAAUACAUCAAAGAGUGGUGAAAACUAGAAUCAAAAUGGAAAGAAGCUUUGAAAAUUGAAACGUCUGUUUUGAGAGUGUAUAUCAUUAAAUUGAUGGUGAAAGACCGCUUUCACUUUAAUUUUUUCAAGCUUCUACUUAGUGCAUCUUGACAUCGUAACAUAUCCAAUCUAGUAUCAACUACAAACCAUGAUUUCCCCUUGCAAAUUUUAGAAAGAAAAGGAGGUGACAGAAAAGGCAAUGGUUGUUCGAUGGAGGAGAAGGGCCUGGGUGUGGGGAAUUAUUGCUGUGUUCAAAUAUGGAGAAGGGUGGGGAAUAACUAUUUGGGUUUGGAGAGGUCUUCGAAGAUGGCAGCCUCAAGAUCUUUUUUUUGUGUGUUUCUCCCUCUAGUUCUCUUAAGGUUCAAGGCUUUAGUUUUAGGAGAUACUUAUUAGGGUUUAACGGGUAUUCCGUUCGGAUUUGGGCUUAAAAUUGGGUUGGGUCUAUAUCUUUUUGAGCUUAAAUCUUGGCUAAGAAAACUAAAUAAUAUAAUGUAUCUAUAAAAAUAUAAAAAUCUCUCUUAACUAAAAUGAACUACUAAUAUAAAACUAAAUACGAAAAGUAAAACUAUUUUUAUAUUUUUAAAUAUUAUAAUAAAGUAAAAAGUAUUAAAAAAUAGGCCAAAGUCAGGAAAAAAUAAAUACUAUUAAAUAUACUAAUUGAUCUUAAACUAAAGAUGAAAAUAUUUUUGUGUUCUUAAAUUGUAAUUUGAUGUAAAAAUUAACUAAGACUCCAUAAAAAUUAAAGCUAAGUUACAUAAAUAUUUUAAGCACUAGAAAUAGGUCAAAACGUGAAAGGUAAAAAAUUACAUGCUUACAUCCAUCAUCCGCAGCUCAAAAUCAUGAAGCGAACAUAUCAACGUGAUCCUUACGAUAUAAGUAAGAUUUUCCGUCCUCCUUUCUUCUUAUGACUCGUGUUUUUUAAAGAUUUGUGGAUAAGCAAUCUUUUCAUCUCUGUAUUUUAGCUAUGCAAGCAUAAAGAAGGGUUUGGAUCAAAGGGAAAAAGGUUUGGAAGCAAGAAUACAAGAUGUAUGUAGUGUUUUCAUUUUAUUUUCGGCAUGAUUUAGUUUAGCUAUGUUCUACACUUUCUUCUUGAUAUUUUAAGCAUUGUUCAAGGGAAAUUUAACAAUUUAUUGUAUCCUUGUGCAGUAUUAAAUUCCAUAUGUUUAGUAUGGAAGAAAACUAGUUUACGUUGAAACUUCAAAACACAACAAAAAUAAAAAGUGUGAAUCGCUCAU
rnacentral:lncRNA from 1 species